ACGGAGGGGGCAAGCGUUAUUCGGAAUCAUUGGGCGUAAAGGGCGCGUAGGCGGCCUGACAAGUCAGGGGUGAAAUCCCUCGGCUCAACCGAGGAACUGCCUCUGAAACUGUAAGGCUUGAGGCCGGGAGAGGGUAGUGGAAUUCCCAGUGUAGCGGUGAAAUGCGUAGAUAUUGGGAGGAACACCAGUGGCGAAGGCGGCUACCUGGACCGGUUCUGACGCUGAGGCGCGAAAGUGUGGGGAGCAAACAGG
rnacentral:rRNA from 1 species